rnacentral:misc_RNA from 1 species
ACCAGGUAGCAUUCCUCUUUGCUGCCGGCACCGCAUGAGCAAUAGGACGGAUACCAUCCUAGAGUCCACCCGGGGCACGCCAGGCUUCUGUAAGGGACAAUUGAUUCGGGCAAAAAAGGGACAAGGACCCCAACCGAUCAUGCUUCUACAUACAAGACUUCGAGCGACACUUGGGCGUCCGACGCCUGCAAGCCACAUAGGCGAAGCAAGGGCGGACGUCCAUGGGUGCUUCAGGGUCUACACCGCACAAAACAUUUUCGCACGAGAUAGAGUAGGGACCGUGGGACUAGAGAAUUCCGUCAAAACAGGUAUGCUGCACAGGGGGCCAAGCCUAUCCAAGCCGAAAUAUUUAGCACUCGGACAGAAUUGAACAGGUGUGAACCAGCGGUUGUCGCUACCGGGGCAGGGAACCAACCAACCGGAACAUACC